CCUUUAACAGGGGGAUAACACUGAGAAAUUGGUACUAAUACCCCAUAACAUCAGAUGUGGCAUCACAUUUGGUUGAAAACUCCGGUGGUUAUGGAUGGGCAUGCGUUGUAUUAGCUAGUUGGUGAGGUAACGGCUCACCAAGGCGACGAUACAUAGGGGGACUGAGAGGUUAACCCCCCACAUUGGUACUGAGACACGGACCAAACUCCUACGGGAGGCAGCAGUGAGGAAUAUUGGUCAAUGGUCUAACGACUGAACCAGCCAUGCCGCGUGAAGGUCACGGCCCUAUGGGUCUUAAACUUCUUUUGUCAGGGAGCAAUAAGGUCUACGUGUAGAUUGAUGAGAGUACCUGACGAAUAAGCAUCGGCUAACUCCGUG
rnacentral:rRNA from 1 species